rnacentral:pre_miRNA from 1 species
UUAACUCGAAUUUGUAUGGAGUUUUGGAACGUUUGCCUACGUUUGCUGCCAGUGCUGUUGUUCCAACUGCAUAAAAAUUUUAAUUA